rnacentral:rRNA from 1 species
AUUGAACGCUGGCGGCAUGCCUUACACAUGCAAGUCGAACGGUAACAGGUCUUCGGAUGCUGACGAGUGGCGAACGGGUGAGUAAUACAUCGGAACGUGCCUAGUAGGGGGGGAUAACUACUCGAAAGAGUGGCUAAUACCGCAUGAGAUCUACGGAUGAAAGCAGGGGAUCGCAAGACCUUGUGCUACUAGAGCGGCCGAUGGCAGAUUAGGUAGUUGGUGGGAUAAAAGCUUACCAAGCCGACGAUCUGUAGCUGGUCUGAGAGGACGAUCAGCCACACUGGGACUGAGACACGGCCCAGACUCCUACGGGAGGCAGCAGUGGGGAAGUUUGGACAAUGGGCGCAAGCCUGAUCCAGCAAUGCCGCGUGCAGGAUGAAGGCCUUCGGGUUGUAAACUGCUUUUGUACGGAACGAAAAGCCCUGGGUUAAUACCCUGGGGUCAUGACGGUACCGUAAGAAUAAGCACCGGCUAACUACGUGCCAGCCGCCGCCGUAA